CAGUGAGAGACCAGCAGGUGAACUUCUCGCUCAAUGGCGACAAGAACGGCCGCAGUUCGUUCAGCCUCUUUAGCCCGAAGGGCGGACUACUCUGGGAUAUCGACCCGACCUGGCAGGCCUUCGCUAAUAUUUCGCGCAGCGCCGAGGUGCCGAGCUUCGGCGAAAGCUCGACUGCUCCGGCGAUUCCGUUUUACUUGAUCCAGCCACAGACGGCGACGACCUACG
rnacentral:misc_RNA from 1 species